rnacentral:rRNA from 1 species
AUGCCGUGCCGUAACGGAGGGAGGGAGGCUCGUGAGAGACUGAUCAUGGCAGCAUGCACAGUGGUCUGCAGUUCUGCACCGAGAUCGGAGACCAGCAGCGUCCUUUUUGACAAACCUCGUCCGUAUGUUUACACGAGCUCCCGAGACCAUGUUAUCGUUGACACAUUGUCACCGGCGACCGACCGACCGGCCGGCGGGCGAGCAGGCGGUCGAGACGACGACCACAGGCCCGGCCAUGGGACUUCGGUUAUUCAAUCACAUGUACAGGUGUUGUGCAACGUCUACAUGUACGAGGCGGUCGAGACGACGACCACAGGCGGUCAUCUGACUCGAUUAUUCAGUAUUCAUCACAUGUACAGCACAUGUGUGUGUGCACGCACGUACGCAUUGUCCGCGACUCCACGUGUAGAGAUACAUCACAGUCUACAAGUCCACACCUAG